UUUUGUUCUUUAGUAGAAGGAUAACAUGACAUAGCAGGAAUAAUACUGCCUUUUCUUUCUGGCAUGGAUCAAGAGAAAAGAAAAUACAAGAAAACAGACAGAAGAUCCUAUCUGCGACAAUUAAGAGCACUCUAAGAGGAAAACACAUCCCACCACACAAGGCAAGGUACUUCUAUGGAAGGGUGAGCCCUCACAGAUGGAGCAAUGGGGCGCGCACACCUGAACAAGGGAGGGGAAGGAGUUCUUAUCCCUGAUGCAUGUGACCCCUGCUGCUGUGUCCUUCCCCUAUUGGCUAAGGCUUCUGACAGCUUUGGAGAUUGUGACAUUGGAAUAAAGGAAAAACGUACAGGACUCAUGAAGCGCUGAAAUGUUCACAAAUAUCAAGCAAAAGUCAAUGAAAUUUAUUUUGAGCUAUUUACAUCAUUUAAUAAUUGAGCAAGGUAUACUCCUAUGAACAAAAUUUGGAGCAUGUUUGUCUCUCUCUGCCUGGCGUCUUCAGAAUUUGGAAACUAGUUAUGGUUUAUAAUCAGCUAUAGAAUUUUAACACGUGCUCUCAAAUGCAAGUUUCUGAUAACUUUGGAGAUUGUGACAUUGGAAUAAAGGAAGAGCUGGAAUGUUCAUGAAUAUCAAGCAAAAGUCAUGGAAAUUUAUUUUGAGCUAUUUACAGCAUUUAAUAAUUGAGCAAGGUAUACUCCUAUGAACAAAAUUUGGAGCAUGUUUGUCUCUCUCUGUCUGCCUGGCAUCUACAGAAUUUGGAAACUAGUUUCGUUCCCAGAUUUCCUAAACUUUCCAGAGAAAAUGGUCUUCUCCCUGGCUCAGCAAGAAGAUGAACUUUAAACACUGAGAAACUGGUCAUCUCCCUGGCUCAACCAGAAGAUGAACUUUAAACACUACUCUCAAUGACUUGAUGUUCCCAUCACUACUCCUGUCAUAAAGGGAGGGGACUCAGAUAUUGAGAAUUUUAUGAUAGUGUGAACUGUCUGGUAUGUCAUUUAAGUAAGCCCGUUGCUGAAAUAUUUUCCAUGUUAUUAGAAAGAGCUGAAGAGAGGGAUUGAGAUGGCUUCUUUAUUUUUUGUCUUUUGGGAAUUAAAGGAACCUGGUUCAACAAGGGCCUACACCUAAGUCUCUUGUUGUACCAGAGUACAAUUUAGGACUGCUCCUGAGGAAGGAAUUAGCUAGAAAUCUAGAGAGUAAGGGUAACAGAUUUACAUAGAAUAACAGCCUCAGUAUUUUUGGUUCCUCUCCAGUAAAGAUCACAAAGAAUAUUGCUAAAUCGCUAAAACACCUUUGCAAUAACGUAAGGGCUUACAACUAUAUACCAAUGUAGCUCAGUUACUAAACUGGAGUAAACUAAUUUCUCUUGUGUAGAAAAAUUGGUUGGCUGUGGUUUUAUAGCAGAUCUGCAAUUAUUAAUAGUUAUGCCAAUAAUCGUUUAACAGUGCAUAUGUUAAUAUAUAUGGAAAGACAAUGUGUAUAGACAGAUGUGUAAAAUUGAAAAAUAAACAUAUAACAAGAGAGAAACAUCUAUCGAACAGACAAUAUACAUACACAUCAAACACAACAGCAGUUUUAGUGACCAUAAUAUUUAUUUCUCAUUUUUACAUUGCUUACUUUAGUGACAACUGAAAAUGACAGUUGGCAAUGCAGCUAACAGUUUCAAUAAAAGUAUAAAACAAAAGACUGUGUACAAAGCACCUGUCUUUCCGCUUUUGUAAUCUUCCGUUGGAAAAAAUUUACACACCUAAGUAACCAUCUGUUUUCUUCAAGAAAAAAUCAUUCUUAUUUCUCUCUCUCAUCUUGAAAACAGCUGUCAGCCAGGAGGGCAGAGCUGAAAUUUAUUGCCACAUCACAUGAAGCAUAGAACAGACUCCACUACUCCUUGAGAUUCAAAACUUUGCCUCUCACAAAGUUACCUUUUAUUUUCCUCUUGUUUGUCACUCAUCUCCCCUAGUGUGCUCUUUUUAUUUCUUUUACUAUUAAUAAUAAAAUCUGUGGAUGACUGUA
rnacentral:lncRNA from 1 species